rnacentral:lncRNA from 1 species
GGAACAUGAAUGAGGACUCUAGACAGAGAGAGAAACAUAAGCCAAGGAAGAGAUGAUAAGUAGCAAAGCCCUCACGGGAAAUUUCAAAGACUUCAUCAUGAACAGAUAUGAGAGGAUACAAUACAGUAGCAUUUCACUUUUUUUUAAGAAUAGGAAUCUUUAGCUGUAUGAAGCUCAAUUGAGAACACAAGUAAUGAACAUCAUUAU